AAGCUUGCUUCUCUGAUGUUAGCGGCGGACGGGUGAGUAACACGUGGAUAACCUACCUAUAAGACUGGGAUAACUUCGGGAAACCGGAGCUAAUACCGGAUAAUAUUUUGAACCGCAUGGUUCAAAAGUGAAAGACGGUCUUGCUGUCACUUAUAGAUGGAUCCGCGCUGCAUUAGCUAGUUGGUAAGGUAACGGCUUACCAAGGCAACGAUGCAUAGCCGACCUGAGAGGGUGAUCGGCCACACUGGAACUGAGACACGGUCCAGACUCCUACGGGAGGCAGCAGUAGGGAAUCUUCCGCAAUGGGCGAAAGCCUGACGGAGCAACGCCGCGUGAGUGAUGAAGGUCUUCGGAUCGUAAAACUCUGUUAUUAGGGAAGAACAUAUGUGUAAGUAACUGUGCACAUCUUGACGGUACCUAAUCAGAAAGCCACGGCUAACUACGUGCCAGCAGCCGCGGUAAUACGUAGGUGGCAAGCGUUAUCCGGAAUUAUUGGGCGUAAAGCGCGCGUAGGCGGUUUUUUAAGUCUGAUGUGAAAGCCCACGGCUCAACCGUGGAGGGUCAUUGGAAACUGGAAAACUUGAGUGCAGAAGAGGAAAGUGGAAUUCCAUGUGUAGCGGUGAAAUGCGCAGAGAUAUGGAGGAACACCAGUGGCGAAGGCGACUUUCUGGUCUGUAACUGACGCUGAUGUGCGAAAGCGUGGGGAUCAAACAGGAUUAGAUACCCUGGUAGUCCACGCCGUAAACGAUGAGUGCUAAGUGUUAGGGGGUUUCCGCCCCUUAGUGCUGCAGCUAACGCAUUAAGCACUCCGCCUGGGGAGUACGACCGCAAGGUUGAAACUCAAAGGAAUUGACGGGGGACCCGCACAAGCGGUGGAGCAUGUGGUUUAAUUCGAAGCACGCGAAGAACCUUACCAAAUCUUGACUCCUUUGAACUCUAGAGAUAGAGCUUCCCCUUCGGGGGACAAAGUGACAGGGUGCAUGGUUCGUCAGCUCGUGUCGUGAGAUGUUGGGU
rnacentral:rRNA from 1 species